rnacentral:rRNA from 1 species
GAUGAACGCUAGCUACAGGCUUAACACAUGCAAGUCGAGGGGCAGCGCAGUGUAGUAAUACAUGGGCGGCGACCGGCGCACGGGUGCGUAACGCGUAUCCAACCUUCCCGUUACUCAGGGAUAGCCUUCCGAAAGGGAGAUUAAUACCUGAUGGUGUUCAAAUUCCGCAUGUUAUUUGAACUAAAGAUUUAUCGGUAGCGGAUGGGGAUGCGUGACAUUAGAUAGUAGGCGGGGUAACGGCCCACCUAGUCUACGAUGUCUAGGGGUUCUGAGAGGAAGGUCCCCCANACUGGAACUGAGACACGGUCCAGACUCCUACGGGAGGCAGCAGUGAGGAAUAUUGGUCAAUGGUCGGAAGACUGAACCAGCCAAGUAGCGUGAAGGAUGAAGGUUCUAUGGAUUGUAAACUUCUUUUAUACGGGAAUAAAACCUCCCACGUGUGGGAGCUUGUAUGUACCGUAUGAAUAAGCAUCGGCUAACUCCGUGCCAGCAGCCG